rnacentral:rRNA from 1 species
AGAGUUUGAUCAUGGCUCAGAGCGAACGCUGGCGGCAGGCCUAACACAUGCAAGUCGAGCGGGCGUAGCAAUACGUCAGCGGCAGACGGGAGAGUAACACGUGGGAACGCGCCCUUCGGUUCGGAAUAACUCAGGGAAACUUGAGCUAAUACCGGAUACGCCCUUACGGGGAAAGAUUUAUCGCCUUGGGAUGAGCCCGCGUCAGAUUAGGUAGUUGGUGGGGUAACGGCCUACCAAGCCUGCGAUCUGUAGCUGGUCUGAGAGGACGAUCAGCCACACUGGGACUGAGACACGGCCCAGACUCCUACGGGAGGCAGCAGUGGGGAAUCUUGCGCAAUGGGCGAAAGCCUGACGCAGCCAUGCCGCGUGAAUGAUGAAGGUCUUAGGAUUGUAAAGUUCUUUCGCCCGUGACGAUGAUGACGGUAACGGGAGAAGAAGCCCCGGCUAACUUCGUGCCAGCAGCCGCGGUAAUACGAAGGGGGCUAGCGUUGUUCGGAAUUACUGGGCGUAAAGCGCGCGUAGGCGGUUUUGCAAGCCAGAGGUGAAAUGCCUGAGCUCAACUUGGGAAUUGCCUUUGGGACUGUGAGGCUUUGAGGACUGGAGAGGUGAGUGGAAUUCCCAGUGUAGAGGUGAAAUUCGUAGAUAUUGGGAAGAACACCGGUGGCGAAGGCGGCUCACUGGCCAGUUUCUGACGCUGUAGCGCGAAAGCGUGGGGAUCAAACAGGAUUAGAUACCCUAGUAGUCC